AGCAAAGCAAAGCAAAUUAAAUUAAAUUGAAUUCUACCCACUCGCCUUCACUCAUGAUUCUUUGUUUUGGUCUCUCUCUCUCUUUCUCUCUCUCUUCUUUGUACUCCCUUCGAUUCGUCAGGAGGUAGAUGACAACAGGAAGUACAGUAUGGACCGGUGGAU
rnacentral:ribozyme from 14 species